rnacentral:lncRNA from 1 species
GAAAAAGUUGUCAGUCGCGUCCCAGGCGCUUCGGAGACGUCUCCGCUUCAACGCGAGACGUCUCGGCUGUAAGAUUUUACUUUUGACGUUGUUUGGGGUCGACUCGGCGCUUUACAGGGACGACUCCGAUGAUGAACGGUUUGAAUCCUUGUUUUUCUGUUUUUCUGAGAGGGUCGCCUCGGCACUUUACGGGGACGUCUCGGCUUAUUUGCGCUUUUUGCAUGGGGACGACUCCGCUGCCGUGGGGACGACUCCG